rnacentral:rRNA from 1 species
GAACGCUGGCGGUAGGCCUAACACAUGCAAGUCGAACGGCAGCACAGAGGAGCUUGCUCCUUGGGUGGCGAGUGGCGGACGGGUGAGGAAUACAUCGGAAUCUACUUUUUCGUGGGGGAUAACGUAGGGAAACUUACGCUAAUACCGCAUACGACCUACGGGUGAAAGCAGGGGACCUUCGGGCCUUGCGCGAUUGAAUGAGCCGAUGUCGGAUUAGCUAGUUGGCGGGGUAAAGGCCCACCAAGGCGACGAUCCGUAGCUGGUCUGAGAGGAUGAUCAGCCACACUGGAACUGAGACACGGUCCAGACUCCUACGGGAGGCAGCAGUGGGGAAUAUUGGACAAUGGGCGCAAGCCUGAUCCAGCCAUACCGCGUGGGUGAAGAAGGCCUUCGGGUUGUAAAGCCCUUUUGUUGGGAAAGAAAUCCAGCCGGCUAAUACCUGGUUGGGAUGACGGUACCCAAAGAAUAAGCACCGGCUAACUUCGUGCCAGCAGCCGCGGUAAUACGAAGGGUGCAAGCGUUACUC